CAUAGGCUCAUCGAGGAGAUCUCAGCCCCAGAAACUGACUGAAGAGCGAGAGCAGAAGGGCAAACCCCGGAGAAGUAUCCGAAGAACCCACAACACCAAUAGGCGAGCGGAGGUGAAAGGCCACCAGAGGCGAGAGGAGGAGACAACUCACGACGGAAAUAACGCCGGAGAAGACACCGCAAGUGCGGUUUAGACGAGAUCUUGGAACGAGACGGACUUGGAUUUGACGGGAGAACAACGGAGCAGCAAGACGAGGACAAGGUCCGACGCCGGCAAGCUGAAGCUAUACCGGCGCCGGAGAGCGGAGGCUCUUUCGUAGAUCUGAAAAUGACGGCUAGGGCGAACGCUACCGAAGAGAGAGAAGAGAGAGAAUAUUGUUUUGAUCUUUAAGAAACACAUUUCCUACAGGUACCAGGGAUACAUUAGCAAAAGUUUGUGGACUAAAAAGAUAACAGGACCCUAACCUUCACCUUCCACGAAGUCUUGAAAGGUUUGAUGUCGCGGAGGAAAGCGUAGGAAGCAGCCAUUGUGAGGCUUUUUUGGGAGGAAUUUUGUUAUGUACGCCCGGUCCAAAAUAACUACAAAGUCGGGUUUCUGGAAAAAGACGCGGAUCCUCAUCCAAGCGGGUCGGGUAAUCUUUUUUAUGUAUAAGCCGAAGAAUUUGCCCUUUUUAAUUUUUAGAAACGUUUUAGUUUUGCCAUAAUUGAGUGGCAAUUUGAGUAAAUAUAAGGAGGAUUUCGGACAUUUAUCCAAACGUACUCCUCUUUUAAUU